CACUCAGCUGAAACACAGUAACGCAGACAGAGUAGCCCAUGAACAAUUCAAACAUUCAAACCUGCCAGGUAAUACAGCCUAGACACUCUUAAAAAUAAAAGCUCCUAAACAAAACAUAGAAUGAACCUCUGUUUCCUUGCACCAUAUGAGUUUCUUAUGCUGUUUUGACACAAAAAUGCAUUUACAAUCUCUUCCUGAGUUCAGAAUUCUAGAACAGAUAGGAGUUUUUUAAAACAAGCAUGGGAGCACGUCCAAAGCACAAUAAAAUACUCAACAUAUGUACGACUGACACAUAUUCUAUAAUGAAUGAAUGCGGCUUAAAUAAAUGCAUUUUAAAAAAGCAAUAAGCCACUCCUGUUUUAACUGUGAUUUCACCCCACUUUGUGUCACAACAACACUGAAAAGUACAGGCAUAAAACAAUAAAGCAAUGUCAUUACAUAGCAGUGUUUUAUGUAAAAAUGUGUUUUUUUUUAAAAAACCUUUUUUUUAAACCAGUGCUAAAAUAAUGCUCUUUUUGGGGUAUGUUAGUGCCAAGCUAGCAGGGUUAGCUCAGUAUCAUGUCGAUUUUGAUGUCAGCUCUAGUUUAUGCAUCUAUUAUGUAUUGUAUCACUGUGUAUUAGUGCCUCACCUUGCUCUCACUUGCACUCACACACACGUGGCUGUAGUCUCUGUUGAAGGUGUGGGUCAGCAGACGCAAACACUGAAAGGACAAGAAGACACGUGAGGAGCUAUGCAAAAAAAUGACAUCACAAAGUCUAAAUUACAGCUUGUUCAGUGUCUUUGUGUGAUCAAGUUAAGACGCUGACUCACCUUGGCUGCGAGUUCACGCUGCCUCUCAUUGGGGGUGUCUGGUCUGGGUGUAGUCUCAGGGCUGUGGCUCAACCCUGGGUGGGCCGCGGGGGAAGAGGACUCGGCGGGAUCUUCAUUCCCGCAGGACAGCAACGGCUCCUGGCCCAGCAGCAGGGUGGACUCCAGUUUCUCCCUCAGGAGGAGGUAGUGCCGGGUUUUCUCCACCUGAUCAACAUAAAAGGAACCAUAUUUUCAAACAUCAUGUACCUAACCUGGACAUAAACAGUCCCAAAGGUCUGUAUGUGGGCCUUGUAUUAGUUUCACAGUAGUCACCAAAUAAUUAAUCUAUCCAUGCUCCGCCCACAAAUGUGUUGUUCAAAAAUAAAUAUCAUUUGAAAUUGA